AGGCAGCAGUGAGGAAUAUUGGACAAUGGGGGGAACCCUGAUCCAGCCAUGCCGCGUGUGUGAAGAAGGCCUUUUGGUUGUAAAGCACUUUAAGCGAGGAGGAGGCUCCUGUAGAUAAUACCUACAGUGAGUGGACGUUACUCGCAGAAUAAGCACCGGCUAACUCUGUGCCAGCAGCCGCGGUAAUACAGAGGGUGCGAGCGUUAAUCGGAUUUACUGGGCGUAAAGCGUGUGUAGGCGGCUGAUUAAGUCGGAUGUGAAAUCCCUGAGCUUAACUUAGGAAUUGCAUUCGAUACUGGUCAGCUAGAGUAUGGGAGAGGAUGGUAGAAUUCCAGGUGUAGCGGUGAAAUGCGUAGAGAUCUGGAGGAAUACCGAUGGCGAAGGCAGCCAUCUGGCCUAAUACUGACGCUGAGGUACGAAAGCAUGGGGAGCAAACAGGAUUAGAUACCCUAGUAGUCC
rnacentral:rRNA from 1 species